UAUCAACGAGCUUCAAUUUUCUAAAAUUAACCUAGAAUCCAAGGGAACAUGGUUAAAUUUUCUAAAAUCUACUUAGAAAAUUAAUCCUAAAAAUUAGUGAUUAAAUUCUAAACAAUGCAAUAUGGUCAUUUUUAUUAUUUUUUCAAGGCAUGAAUUUAAUGGAAAAAAUAAAUAAAACCUAAAAAAUCUAAGUAUUAACAUGAUUUUUCAAAGUAUUUUUUCAUACAAAAUAACAUGUGAAACAAGUAUUAAGAUGUAUUAAAAAACCAAAAAUGAUAUUAAAAGAAAACAAAAAC
rnacentral:lncRNA from 1 species